rnacentral:lncRNA from 1 species
AACACCGACCAACAAUAUUAGCAGAAAAACCCAAAACCCGAUGAUCCGCGAAUCAACCCGACCUGAAUUAGAAUCAGCUCUAAACAACAAUAGUGAUGCGUACAAUAUCCACCAGCCACGACAAAAACAGCAAAAUCCCAUACCCGAUAACCAUCUUCAACCCGUCGAAGACCCAACCGACCCAACCCUUCUCCACGUGCAUCUCACAUGGGUACGUAUGAGGAGGGCUCGAGAAAGUUCUAGAACAAACCUAGGUGUCGUUCCCCAACGGGUAAUUCCACAAAUCUCAGGCACGAUGGUACGAUUCCGUACAUAUUUGGUGAAUUCCUAUUAGUUCUUGAGGGAAUUCAUUUUGCGAAAAAUUCUAUUAGUCCAUCCAUCCAGAUUUAUCCGAAGAAAAUCCAAAAAUUAGUACAAAAAUUUAGGGAUGAAAACCGAAGCGGGGGGAGAUUUCCAAUUUCCAAUUUUCUAUUUUUAGAAAUCCCUAAUUUACCCCAUAUACGCCUUUCUAUAAAUGACUCAACGUGGACCAAUUUUUAGAUGGGAAAAAAAUCUCUUUUAGGUCCAAAAAAGAGAAGAGACAAAGGAUUUUGGAAGCAAAAACAUAAGAAAAAAUAGUAAAAGGAGAAGGGGCUUUUCUUUUAAGUGAAAAAAAGAAGAGAGAGAAGAAAUAUAUUUUGUUUUCAGCACGAAUUCUUGAAGGCAGUAGGCUAAUCGUUUUUAAGAUCUUUUUCCGUGGUGUUCACAAUUCCGACGAAGCUCAUUGUUGCGUUUGGCUACCCCGAAAGGGGUAAACAUACUCUCGUCCCUUUUAAUUUCAUCAUUUUCUUCUUCUUCCUUUUUAACCAUAGAAUCAGUUAACUGCUUAGUUGUAAUCGUGAUAGCAUUAGGUUUGCUUGCCGUAGACGUCGUUGAUGGCCAUAGGAUUUGUUUGUGGUGACUAUUGUUGUGUCGUUUUAAUUGGUUUAAUGAUGUUCGCCCUAUUGUUGAUUCCAUAUAUUUUUUAUUUUACUGUUUUGGAAUCAUAAUCUCGUGUUAAUCUUACUGGUCAGUUGUUAAAUUUUCCGUUAGUAUAUAUUGUGAACAUGUUGUGCUUUUUCGUAUGAUUCGAUACAUCUCGUCGUGGGGUUUAAACUACUGUUCUUAUAUUGACUUUGUUUAAAUUGUCCGAAACAUAUUGUGAUCUGUUGCUCUUCGAUGCAGCUGUGAGCUCAAUGCGUUGGUAUCACAAUUUGAAUUCUAGUUUUUCUUUCAAAGUCAUUACAAUCUCUUGAAAAUUGUGGUCUAUUUUUGCUAAUAUUUAGCUGAGCCUUCUUUAUUUAAGUCCUCUUUGUUGCCUUAGUUCGAUGUUGCUACUGUUUCGCCUAUUUCCUUACCUUGUUUUAUGCUUGUCUUCGAGUUGUCGUGAGCAUGUAAAGAUGUUCCUCAAAUUCCUAUUGGCAAGAAAUGUCAAAGAAGGGAUGAAGGAUACAUUAUAUAGGUCUUUGCUUUGAUGGAAAUCACAACUGAUGGGUUAUUGUUUUUCUUGGCAUCGUAAUGCUAGUCUUGAUGCACUAGCACGAAUAUGUUUAAUGUAGUCUAAUAGCCAUAGGAAAAAGAAGAAGAAUAAUGUUCUUUUAUAUCUCUUAUGGCUUCAAAGUUUCAGUUUUUAAUUGUUUUAUGUAAGUGGAUUCUUUCCUUAUUUUUCUCUCUUUUUUCCCUGACUAUCCGAACGCCUUGGUUGUUUUAUUUCUUCCUUAUUGACAUUCACUGGCUCCUGAUUUCUGAUUCAAUUUCUUAAUAGGUUCAAAAAAUAUAACUCACAAUUUUUGUCUUAAUGUUUCAAGUUCUAGUUGUUGCAUUCUUAACGCACUAGUUUGAUAUUAAUUGUGUAGUUUAGGAUCGUUAAUUCACAUGUUGUGUCAACUCAGAUGCUAUAUGUCGUGGUCCUUUCAUUCAUUGCAUUCUUUUUGUUACCACUACAAAAAUUCCAGUUUGUAUUGGGUUCAUCUUGUGAAAGGAUUGAAAUUGUUUUCCUAAAUCAUUCUUUGGUUCAUAAUACUUGAUUAGUAGUCUGUUACCUUAGAUUAUUUCUUCUUCCCUUUCUUUUCUCCAAUCUGUAAAAGCUGAAUCUGAUUGCACCUAGUUGAAUUUUGUCGAACAUUAGACAUGAGGAUUUUCUUACAAUGGUUGGUUUUCUGGUUUGCUGAAUUAGCAUGUGUUAAUUGUUCUUUCUUUUGCCUAUUUGUUGAAUCUCUUAAAUGUCCAAUUCACGCUUUUAUUUCACCUCACUCUCUCUAAGCUCCCCAAAAAAAUGUAAUUGUGUAGGCUUUGUUUUGCUUGGCAAUCAUGACAAUCUUCCAUUUACUUUCUUUGGAUGACCUGGACAUAUCUUUAUGAAUCAGCGUAUGAGUAUCUCUCACAGUAUUAGGAAACUUUCUGGGUGAUUUGUGGAUGAUAUAUUAAUUCUUUCUUCUUGUUUUCUUUUCUUUGCAUGAACCCACUUCGGAGUCCCAUCGGACUCUUUGCCUUUUGUAUAUAGGCCAAUAAGGCCUAUCUUUCGAGUCAGGCCCCAAAAGAAAGUCUAAAGCGAGUUCAAAGGCAUAUGGAUGCAAGGAGUCAAAGGAAGAAAAUGAACUAAAGUCUCAUAUUUGAAGCGGCUAAGAGACUUAAAAGUCUCAUUUACUUGCCUAUUUAGUUAUUUAUUGUUGUCUCAUGUAUUCAUUUAUUUGUCGUCUUAUUUUUUCAUUUCAUUCAUUUAGGCCUCAAAGCCAAAGUUGUCAAUUUAAUACAGGUGGAACAAAUUUUGGGUCGAAAAGGCUCUAAAACUAGACUAGGACAGGUGAAAUGGGUCGAAAGUUCAAUUAAACUAGGACAGGUUUCAUUGAUUUGGGCCCAAUGGUCUUAAAUCUUUUACUUUCUCCUCUCUUUCCCCUUUUAUGUGUUUAUUUGAUUAUUAGUUUUGUUUAGACUUAGUUAAAAUCCCUACUAAGUCGUUUAAAUCUAUUUUACACAAGUUUUUUCUAAAAAAAUUGAUCAUUUUUCAACAAAUAAAUCUUUUUGUAGUUAGUCAAAAGAUGUUUUCAAACAGUUCGGAUAAUCGCAAGUUAGCAGACAUUUUAGGUGCUUUAAUAAUCUUUCUAAAACGUUAAUAGAAAUUGCUUACUCUGAAUUUUCGAGUUUAACUGAUUUGCUUAUUUUGGAUUGGUUAAAGUAAAUUUAUAAAGGUUUUUUAAUUCUUUUUCAAAAUUAAGUGGCGACUCUUAAAAAGCUAAAAUUUUUGUAAAAAAGAACCAAUGUUUCAUGAAGCUACAUGCUCACAAACAACUACACUUAUCUAACUAAUAGACCCACCAAGUAAGCCUAAUAUCCAUUCAAUAUUUUCAACCAUCCAUGAAUACCAAAUUAAUUUAUAUGUCAAUAGAGUAUGAACACAUCACAAUAUACAAUUGAUACCACAAUAGGCUUUUCAUCAAACAAGAUAUGAUUAUUUUUCAUGCAUAUAGGCUAUCAACAUCACAUAGGAUUCCACACGGUCACACAUAGAACAUAGCAUCCCAAAACUACCAAAUACAUCACAUAUAGGCCCCCACACAGGCACAACACAAUAAGAUAGCCAUUUUUUAUAAUUAGUUUUCAUACUCUUAACCUUUUGUAUCAAAUUAACUAUCCAGCUUGGUUUGAAAAAAGUUAAGCCAUAGCCUACUUUGUAAGUCGAAAACUAGAACAAAAGCCUUAAAUCCCAAAGCCUCACUCCUAAUGAAUGGUCCCAAAAUCAACUAAAACAUAGAAAUAUUGAAUCUACGCGUCAAAAGAAAGCCA